AGCUGACUGACGAGUCCCAAAUGGGAUGAAAUGCGCAUCCUAGAU
rfam:Trichobilharzia regenti genome assembly, scaffold: TRE_scaffold0018060